GACGAACGCUGGCGGCGUGCUUAACACAUGCAAGUCGAACGGUGAAGCGCCUUCCUUUUUGGUGGGUGUGGAUGAGUGGCGAACGGGUGAGUAACACGUGAGUAACCUGCCCCCUUCUUCUGGAUAACCGCAUGAAAGUGUGGCUAAUACGGGAUAUUCUGGGUCUGUCGCAUGAUGGGUCUGGGAAAGAUAUUGUUUCGGUGGGGGAUGGGCUCGCGGCCUAUCAGCUUGUUGGUGGGGUGAUGGCCUACCAAGGCGGUGACGGGUAGCCGGCCUGAGAGGGUGGACGGUCACACUGGGACUGAGACACGGCCAAGACUCCUACGGGAGGCAGCAGUGGGGAAUAUUGCACGAUGGGCGCAAGCCUGAUGCAGCGACGCCGCGUGAGGGAUGGAGGCCGUCGGGUUGUGAACCUCUUUCGCCAGUGAAGCAGGCCUGCCUAGUUUGUGGGUGGGUUGACGGUAGCUGGAUAAGAAGCGCCGGCUAACUACGUG
rnacentral:rRNA from 1 species